GCUUCUUGUAACUCAAAUUGUGUUUUUAGCAAAGUUUGUUGAUUACUAAGAAAAUGUAGGAGGAAUGUGAACUAGCAAUUUUAUGGCUCUCCUUUCAUCAUUUAAAACCUGAUUGUGGAAUGUGAUGUAAUUUAUCAAAUUGACACUGUAAUUUUGUGAUUUUGGUUGUAUUGAUUUCUGGGGAUUAUGAGGGAAGAAGUGUCAUUGUGCAAAGUAGUAAUGUGAUAAAAAUACAUAUUCAAUCACUUAUUGUGAAUUUUACCUGUUAACAUGUCUAAUUACCUAUAAAAUGCUACAAUAGGAAAAACAUCCUGCAAUCAUUUGUUUGUGGUCUCUUUCUUUCUUCAUCUCUUCUUCCUUUUGUGCACUCCAAAACACAUUUUAUAUAGUCUGUAAUUUGUUUGGCUUGUUUGACCGACUUUCAAGUUUGGCCUAUGUGAUUCUUGAAAUCUAAUGUAAUGUAGCUUAGAUAAGUUUUCUGAUUGCAACCGUCUUCUCUACUUGUCUUGCAUUAUACUGAGACCUAAUUUAUUGAAUUUGCUGUAUAUUUUCAAUUCAAAUUUGCACUUUUUGGUUCCCUUUAAAUACAUCCCCAAAAGCUCUCAGAAAUGUGGUUUAUUUGGUCAAAUUAUGAAAUACAGAACCCUG
rnacentral:misc_RNA from 1 species